rnacentral:rRNA from 1 species
UACGGGGGGGGGCAAGCGUUGUUCGGAAUUACUGGGCGUAAAGGGCUCGUAGGUGGCCAACUAAGUCAGACGUGAAAUCCCUCGGCUUAACCGGGGAACUGCGUCUGAUACUGGAUGGCUUGAGUUCGGGAGAGGGAUGCGGAAUUCCAGGUGUAGCGGUGAAAUGCGUAGAUAUCUGGAGGAACACCGGUGGCGUAGGCGGCAUCCUGGACCGACACUGACACUGAGGAGCGAAAGCCAGGGGAGCAAACGGG